rnacentral:lncRNA from 1 species
GAAUGUGACCGUCGAAUUGAGUUUGGAAUUUGCGUAACAGACCUAACUAAAACUGUUAAUGGACUAUGCACCACCUGUUCUGCAGGUAAAAAAGGAUGUAAAUAUUUCAAUAACAAUGGAACUUAUAUUUGUGAUGGAGAAUAUGAAUGGCUAAGUGAAGGAGAAAAUGAUCUCCAGAAAAGCAAUGUUGCUAUUUCUUAAUCUAUGUAUUAAAUUAAAGCACAUUGAUGAGUAAUAUGUGCUAUGUAAUAUGUAACAUGGUUGUGGACCUUUACCACGGCUAGUGUGCUACUUAAGUAUGUUUUUAUUAUUUA